rnacentral:rRNA from 1 species
UACAGGGGGUGCAAACGCUGCUCGGAAUCAUUGGGCGUAAAGCGCACGUAGGCGGUUCGUUAUGUCGGAUGUGAAAGCCCUUGGCUUAACCGAGGAAGUGCAUCCGAAACUGGCGAGCUAGAGUACUAAAGAGGAUCGCGGAAUUCCCGGUGUAGAGGUGAAAUUCGUAGAUAUCGGGAGGAACACCGGUGGCGAAGGCGGCGAUCUGGGUAGAUACUGACGCUGAGGUGCGAAAGCGUGGGGAGCAAACAGG